ACGUGAUCUGAGUUCAGACCGGAGUAAUCCAGGUCAGUUUCUAUCUAUAAAGAGCUUAUUCUAGUACGAAAGGACCGAAAAAGCAUGGCCUAUACUUUAUGCAAGCCAUCCUAAGUAACUUAUGAUUUAAACUCAAUAAGUAACUUAUCUUAAUCUCACCUCAAGAAAAGAGA
rnacentral:rRNA from 1 species